AUUUCCAGGGGCAGCAGGGGGCUCUGGGAGCUGUAGGUUCUUGGUUAGCUCCCUGUCUAUAGAGCAAGCCCUGGAGCAGGGAAAGAACUAUAUUUCCCAGCAUUCCCUUGGCCACUACCAACUGGAAAAGAAG